rnacentral:rRNA from 1 species
GAUGAACGCUGGCGGCGUGCCUAAUACAUGCAAGUCGAGCGGACAGGCGCGGAGCUUGCGGGGCGCACGAGAGGGGAAGGGGGGAGAAAAACGCGUGUAUACCGUCCCUGAAUGAGGGAGAUAACCAGGAAAAAGGGGCGAUAACAGGAGAGGAGAUUUUGCACCGUGGGGGGGGAUAGUAAGAUUCGGUGGUUGGGGAUGGACUAGCGGGUUAUCCGCUUGUUGGGGGGGUAGUGGCUUACAAGGGGUAUGACGGGUAGCCUGCCUGGGAGGGUGACCGGCCACAUUGCGACUGCGAUACGGCCCAGACUCCUACGGGAGGCAGCAGUGGGGAAUAUUGCACAAUGGGCGGAAGCCUGAUGCAGCAACGCCGCGUGCGGGAUGACGGCCUUCGGGUUGUAAACCGCUUUCGCCUGUGACGAAGCGUGAGUGACGGUAAUGGGUAAAGAAGCACCGGCUAACUACGUG